AGCAGUCGCCGCGGGAAUACGUAGGGUGCAAGCGUUAAUCGGAAUUACUGGGCGUAAAGCGUGCGCAGGCGGUUAUAUAAGACAGAUGUGAAAUCCCCGGGCUCAACCUGGGAACUGCAUUUGUGACUGUAUAGCUAGAGUACGGCAGAGGGGGAUGGAAUUCCGCGUGUAGCAGUGAAAUGCGUAGAUAUGCGGAGGAACACCGAUGGCGAAGGCAAUCCCCUGGGCCUGUACUGACGCUCAUGCACGAAAGCGUGGGGAGCAAACAGGAUUAGAUACCCCGGUAGUCCCUGUCUCUUAUAA
rnacentral:rRNA from 1 species